UGUUGCUGGACAACCGCACAUGUGCCCCAGCCUUCGCCUGCUUAGUGAGCAUGCCACUUUCUCUGUGAGCCACAAUCCUAUUACCCCUCCACGGCCCCGUGGUGGGCGAUAAGAGCAGUGCGACGCCCUGCAAAGACGGAGCGCUGAGCCCCCAUUUGCUGCGUGUUUUUGGUCGGGGCCCCAGGGGGGAGGUGGCAGCAGUGCUUAAAUGGCCCUAUAAUGCUGACAACAUUGGCAGGUAUUUGUCGCGGCUUGGGCGCAUUCCAUUGCGCAUUCAUCCGUGCGCUCCGCUGAGCACACCUCCAAAUGCGCACCUGCACGCGUCACUCCUGCAAUCACACAUCUGACGCUGAUGAGUUCCCUGUGCUUCUCAAGCCACGCAGACCUGCGUUCCGGGCCGCAACAUUCCUCCAUUCUCUGGUUACGAGCAGUGUGUCUUGUCUCCCCGUAUUCCCUCUGGUUCCCUGGCUGCCCUUUCGGAUCUCCGCCUCCCGCCUGGACACGAACUUUUGAAGCCUCGCUCUUGACCUUGACCCCCUGCCUGUCCCUGGAUCUCCGAGCUUGCCUUGCCUUCUUGGACUUCUGCACCUCGCUCAACGCUCCUGGUAACACGACUCAGUUAAUCCCUACCUAUAGUCACACUGUACACAUUUUGGGUUAGUUUCACACUUCAUAAUAGUAUAUAUUAAUAAACAGAGCUAAAAUGACGUCCUUCUUCCCCGCUGUACCGUAACAGUAUUUAAAUAAUUU